AUUGAACGCUGGCGGCAGGCCUAACACAUGCAAGUCGAACGGUAACAGGAAGCAGCUUGCUGCUUCGCUGACGAGUGGCGGACGGGUGAGUAAUGUCUGGGAAGCUGCCUGAUGGAGGGGGAUAACUACUGGAAACGGUAGCUAAUAACGCAUAAUGUCGCAAGACCAAAGAGGGGGACCUUCGGGCCUCUUGCCAUCGGAUGUGCCCAGAUGGGAUUAGCUUGUUGGUGGGGUAACGGCUCACCAAGGCGACGAUCCCUAGCUGGUCUGAGAGGAUGACCAGCCACACUGGGACUGAGACACGGUCCAGACUCCUACGGGAGGCAGCAGUGGGGAAUAUUGCACAAUGGGCGCAAGCCUGAUGCAGCCAUGCCGCGUGUAUGAAGAAGGCCUUCGGGUUGUAAAGUACUUUCAGCGGGGAGGAAGGGAGUAAAGUUAAUACCUUUGCUCAUUGACGUUACCCGCAGAAGAAGCACCGGCUAACUCCGUG
rnacentral:rRNA from 1 species